rnacentral:rRNA from 1 species
GCUUGCUCCCUGGGUGACGAGCGGCGGACGGGUGAGUAAUGUCUGGGAAACUGCCUGAUGGAGGGGGAUAACUACUGGAAACGGUAGCUAAUACCGCAUAACGUCGCAAGACCAAAGAGGGGGACCUUCGGGCCUCUUGCCAUCAGAUGUGCCCAGAUGGGAUUAGCUAGUAGGUGGGGUAAUGGCUCACCUAGGCGACGAUCCCUAGCUGGUCUGAGAGGAUGACCAGCCACACUGGAACUGAGACACGGUCCAGACUCCUACGGGAGGCAGCAGUGGGGAAUAUUGCACAAUGGGCGCAAGCCUGAUGCAGCCAUGCCGCGUGUGUGAAGAAGGCCUUCGGGUUGUAAAGCACUUUCAGCGAGGAGGAAGGUGGUGAGCUUAAUACGCUCAUCAAUUGACGUUACUCGCAGAAGAAGCACCGGCUAACUCCGUGCCAGCAGCCGCGGUAAUACGGAGGGUGCAAGCGUUAAUCGGAAUUACUGGGCGUAAAGCGCACGCAGGCGGUUUGUUAAGUCAGAUGUGAAAUCCCCGGGCUCAACCUGGGAACUGCAUUUGAAACUGGCAAGCUAGAGUCUCGUAGAGGGGGGUAGAAUUCCAGGUGUAGCGGUGAAAUGCGUAGAGAUCUGGAGGAAUACCGGUGGCGAAGGCGGCCCCCUGGACGAAGACUGACGCUCAGGUGCGAAAGCGUGUGGAGCAAACAGGAUUAGAUACCCUGGUAGUCCACGCUGUAAACGAUGUCGAUUUGGAGGUUGUGCCCUUGAGGCGUGGCUUCCGGAGCUAACGCGUUAAAUCGACCGCCUGGGGAGUACGGCCGCAAGGUUAAAACUCAAAUGAAUUGACGGGGGCCCGCACAAGCGGUGGAGCAUGUGGUUUAAUUCGAUGCAACGCGAAGAACCUUACCUACUCUUGACAUCCAGAGAACUUAGCAGAGAUGCUUUGGUGCCUUCGGGAACUCUGAGACAGGUGCUGCAUGGCUGUCGUCAGCUCGUGUUGUGAAAUGUUGGGUUAAGUCCCGCAACGAGCGCAACCCUUAUCCUUUGUUGCCAGCGGUUCGGCCGGGAACUCAAAGGAGACUGCCAGUGAUAAACUGGAGGAAGGUGGGGAUGACGUCAAGUCAUCAUGGCCCUUACGAGUAGGGCUACACACGUGCUACAAUGGCGUAUACAAAGAGAAGCGACCUCGCGAGAGCAAGCGGACCUCAUAAAGUACGUCGUAGUCCGGAUUGGAGUCUGCAACUCGACUCCAUGAAGUCGGAAUCGCUAGUAAUCGUAGAUCAGAAUGCUACGGUGAAUACGUUCCCGGGCCUUGUACACACCGCCCGUCACACCAUGGGAGUGGGUUGCAAAAGAAGUAGGUAGCUUAACCUUCGGGAGGGCGCUUACC